AGGAUCAUUACUGAUUUGCCUUAAUUGCACCACAUGUGUUUUUCUUUGAAACAAACUUGCUUUGGCGGUGGGCCCAGCCUGCCGCCAGAGGUCUAAACUUACAACCAAUUUUUUAUCAACUUGUCACACCAGAUUAUUACUAAUAGUCAAAACUUUCAACAACGGAUCUCUUGGUUCUCGCAUCGAUGAAGAACGCAGCGAAAUGCGAUACGUAAUAUGAAUUGCAGAUAUUCGUGAAUCAUCGAAUCUUUGAACGCACAUUGCGCCCUCUGGUAUUCCGGAGGGCAUGCCUGUUUGAGCGUCGUUUCUCCCUCAAACCGCUGGGUUUGGUGUUGAGCAAUACGACUUGGGUUUGCUUGAAAGACGGUAGUGGUAAGGCGGGAUCGCUUUGACAAUGGCUUAGGUCUAACCAAAAACAUUGCUUGCGGCGGUAACGUCUACCACGUAUAUCUUCAAACUUUGACCUCAAAUCAGGUCUACUCCGCCUAGGUAAAGUNAAA
rnacentral:misc_RNA from 1 species